ACAACCCCAUCACAAAGACUGUGGUAUUGGCAGAAGUGGGCAGGGCUAGCAGUGCUUAACCUCACUCUGCUGAAAUGAAUAGGCCGGAAAUGGAGACCAUUGUAACAAACCUUCAGAGUAUCUUAAUCAUACUAAAUUAGUUUGUAGGCUGGUCAGAAUUCAGGCCAUUUGACCCCCAUUCUGUGUAAAGCAGUAA
rnacentral:misc_RNA from 1 species